GCGUCGGCCGGGAUAGUGCAAUGGUUAGCAUACGCUCCCGGAAUAGAGUGAGAUCUGGGUUCUGCAAUGGUUAGCAUACGCUCCCGGAAAGAGUGAGAUCUGGGUUCGUAUCCCGGCUGACGCA